UGUCAAGGGAUGGGAAUCGAACCCACACUGUUCCGCUUACCGGGCAGAUGCCAUGUCCACUAGGCUACCCUGGAC